rnacentral:snRNA from 1 species
CAAUGUGAGGUCUAUCUGGCUGCAACAUCAGAUCNCUCCAGUGAUCACCAGGGCUGAUUUGGCUGGCUAGGCAAGUGUGCACCCCCUGCCCCCUCCAUGUGCGUCCUUCCAAAGCUGGUUGAAAAGUAUGACCAUGCCAGAUAGAAGUAUAGAGUUCUUCAGUCAAGAGUACACCAUAGCAGCACUCCCCUGCUAGAACCUCCCAAAUCAAACCAGCUGACCGGCCUGCCAGAUUGGCAGCGGAGUCCCGCACCUUCACUUGCAAGCACAUUUCACACAGACUAAGCUGCCUAUAUCAAGCUCCUUAGAGGAGGAGGUG